rnacentral:rRNA from 1 species
AAACGUAGGGGGCGAGCGUUGUCCGGAAUUACUGGGCGUAAAGGGUGCGUAGGCGGUCGUUUAAGUCCUGUGUGAAAGGCCCCGGCUUAACCGGGGAGAGCCAUGGGAAACUGGGCGACUUGAGUGUCGGAGAGGGUUGCGGAAUUCCCGGUGUAGCGGUGAAAUGCGUAGAGAUCGGGAAGAACACCAGUGGCGAAGGCGGUCUGCUGGGCUCUAACUGACGCUGAGGCACGAAAGCAUGGGUAGCAAACAGGAUUAGAUACCCUGGUAGUCCAUGCCGUAAACGAUGAUUACUAGGUGUGGGGAGUCUGACCCUCUCCGUGCCGGAGUUAACACAAUAAGUAAUCCACCUGGGAAGUACGACCGCAAGGUUGAA